rnacentral:rRNA from 1 species
UACGUAGGGUGCGAGCGUUAAUCGGAAUUACUGGGCGUAAAGCGUGCGCAGGCGGUUUGUCAAGCCAGACGUGAAAGCCCCGGGCUUAACCUGGGAACGGCGUUUGGGACUGACAGACUGGAGUGCGGCAGAGGGAACUGGAAUUCCUGGUGUAGCAGUGAAAUGCGUAGAUAUCAGGAGGAACACCGAUGGCGAAGGCAGGUUCCUGGGCCAGCACUGACGCUCAUGCACGAAAGCGUGGGGAGCAAACAGG